ensembl:lncRNA
CUCCGCUCUCCUCGCCCCAGCCCGGCUCCCCUGGGCUCAGCCCCGGGGCGUACAUUCGCGCCCUUCCCCCGACUGGAGAAAAGGGUGGCAAGUCGCACGAACGCCGAUUGGGGACCCCCGCGCUUCGCAGGAGGAAUGGCAGUGUGCUCGCUGUGAGGCGGACGUUACCUGGGGGCUGUGCUCUCCUGUGGAGGUGGACCUCGCUGGGGCCAGCUGGGGUGAGGGGACAGACAGACAGCCUCUCUGUCCCCAUGGCCGAGCCCAGCCCGCCCACCGAGGCCUGGCUUUCGGGCUUUCCAGGGCGGCAACCUUGAGCUUGGGGUGGGCAGGUCCAGCUUGAUUUCUAGACCUGCUUCUGGAGAGGUGGGAUUGGAUGUGAAGGUUUAGCUCCUGUGGAAUAGAAAGCCUCUGGCCCUCCCCCAAAACUCUGUCUUUAAAGAUGCAUCUUUUCGUAUAUGUCUCCCCCCAACCGGCUGGUGUUUUGUUCCUUGAUACACCCAACAUUGGUGUCCCAUGCCAUCCCUCUUCAAGUUUUAUGAUGAAAUUCUUCCUUAACCUAUAUUCCUCAAAUAAAUUUGAUUCUAUCUCCUCCCCCCAAGAAAAACCCCAGCAACCCCUAAAACUUGAAGUUGAUGGAUAUUGGGAAGUCUUGUCCUUUUGCGUUGUGUUUUGGCUGUCUUGUCAGGGGAAGCCUUGCAAAAACAUUUGAGGACAUGUGGUGAGGUGACUUGAAUUGUGUGAAGGGCAAGUUGACAAAAUGGGGCACCUCUGGCCCUCUUUUUGGCUUUGGGAAACAGAUUUCUAGAAGCAUAGAGGAGGAAAAGGGAGAAACUGCCUGGCCAGGUCAGCUCACCUCUUGGGAAGUUGUGCAGAGACCCAUGAAAAAGGCAUUUUCCCACAGGCUCUGUGACCUCUGUACGCCUUGUACAGAGACGUCCUUGUGGGAGCCAUGCCGAUUUGAUGUGUUGGUAGCAUGUAGGGCUGGAAACAGAGGUACAAAGGGCAGUGAGGAGAGCUUUGGGGUCACUAAGGCAGGAUUGGGCCCAGGAGCUCAGCUGUUGGCUGAUUUUGGCUAUGCAAGCGCUGUCCUGCAGGCUCUGGUUAGUGGAAUAUGCAGACGCAAGAAUUAUAAGAGAAAAGUUUCUUUGACGCUAAGGAGUGCACUUGUGCACAGAAGGCUGCUGCCGGGCCUGGGAAGAUACUCAGUGAAUGGCAGUGUUGACACACUGCCCAGGAGGUCAAGCUUGGCUCUCGACAUGGGGAUGGUGCCUUCUGCCCUUGGUUCUACAAGGAUGACUUUUCCUGACAGUCUUCUCUGGCCUCCCAUCUGGCCAACUCCUGUUGGGAUGGUGGUUCUGAAUUGAAGAGCCUGCAAUCCUUGCCUCUUUUCCAGAAUUUCCCUGUGCUCCAGGCCCCUAAAGCCCAUGGCCAAGGGGUGGGGUUUUUCUAUAAGCCCAGACCCGGUAGCUCCAAGGCUCCUGCCAGGCCUGGGCCACAGUAACUCCUGCAGAGUGCCUCCCUCCCCUGCCAGCUACCUUGGGGUGGACACCCAGCGCUGGCAGGAAGGGCAUUCCAUUUGGCUCAACCCAUGAGGAAUCAAUUAGUGCUUGCUUUCUUUUGACUCUCCUAUCUAACACCAGAGCCUGUGACAUCACAGAAUAGCAGCCUUGGGCUUGAGUGAGGUGGGAUCCAUCCCUGGUGACAUGACUCUUGCAAAGUCUGGGUGUGGGAAAUGUGAUGGCCCAUUUUCCUGAUGAUACCUCUUUCUCCUACGCUGAAUCCCUGGGUUCAGGUGGGGCCAACUCCACCCACUGGCUUUAGAAGCAGACAUCUGAUCCGAGCCUGCACACAGGCUCCUGCAACUCCCCCAGCGACUUCUGCAACAAACAUGGGGAAAGAGCUUUCUCUUUCUGUGGGAGUUGCUAAGUCCACAGGAUAUAAGCUUGGAGCUGCUGAUGGCCAAUCUGUUAUCUAUUUGAGGAUGAAGCCAAUAAAGAGGAAGGAGAACUAAGAUGGAUAGAGUGUGCUGUCCAGACUUGCCACUUCCUGCCCAGUAAAUUCCCGAAUCCAACUCUGCCCCUGGACUACCCUGAUUAUAUGAGCCAGUGCUUUUUAAAUUAUUUUCUUUCUUUUAAAACCAGACUGAGGUGCGUUUCUAUCAUAGAAAGGUUUCGAAUACAGUAAGUGUUUUUAUGUGGUCUUUUUUUUUUUUAAAUCAGCUUUAUUGAGAUGUACUUCUCAUGCAGUCCACCCCUUUUAAGCAUACACAUCCUAAGUUUUAUCAAAUCCACACACCUUUGCAACCACCACAAUCAGAGGUGGAAUAUUUCUUUUUCUUCCCAAAAAAGUUCCAGCUCUCCCUUGAUGGUCCGUCCCUUCAGCCUCAGACAACCACUGAUCUGCUUUCUAGAGAUUGCUUUUGCCUCUUCUAGAAUUUCCUGUAAAGAUGAUCACAUGGUGAGCACUCUGUGUUUGGUUUCUUUUUCUCAGCAUGUUUUCGAGACUCAUCCUUGUUACAUGCAUCAGUAGACCAUUCCUUUUGUUGCUGGGGAAGAUUGCAUCGUGUGGAUGUGCAUCCGUUUGUUCAGCCACUUACCAGAUGAUGCAUAUUUGAGCUGUUUCUAGAUUUUGGCUGUUAUAAAUAAAGUUGUUUCGGACAUUGAUUUAUCAAUCUUUGGUUGUAUGUUUUGAUUUUUAUACAUCAGGCUAGUUUUCCAGUUGAGGCAACGAGUUCAGACAGG